AUUAACCUACGGGGCGCAGCAGUGGGGAAUAUUGCACAAUGGGCGCAAGCCUGAUGCAGCGACGCCGCGUGCGGGAUGGAGGCCUUCGGGUUGUAGACCGCUUUUGUUCAAGGGCAAGGCACGGUCUUUGGCCGUGUUGAGUGGAUUGUUCGAAUAAGCACCGGCUAACUACGUGCCAGCAGCCGCGGUAAUACGUAGGGUGCAAGCGUUAUCCGGAUUUAUUGGGCGUAAAGGGCUCGUAGGCGGUUCGGUGCGUCCGGUGUGCA
rnacentral:rRNA from 1 species